UGUGUGUGUGUGUGUGUGUGUGUGUGUGUGUGUGUGUGUGUGUGUGUGUGUGUGUGUGUGUGUGCAUGUGAAUUAAAGGGUUUGUCUAGCCCAGUAGUCUGCAUAUUAGUUGCAGUAGUUGGCGCACCUCUCCUAUCUCUGAUUGUUCUAGGUGUCUUUUGCCAGAGGUUACCUCAGCAUAUGUAGGCUGAUGAUCUGAAUGAUACAUGGUGUGGACUGUGUUGUGAUGGGCUGGAUCUAGUAGUGCUGUGUUGUGAUUGGCCUGGUCCAGUAGAGCUGUGUUGUGAUUGGCCAGGUCAAGUAGAGCUGUGUUGUGAUGGGCCUGGUCCAGUAGAGCUGUGUUGUGAUUGGCCAGGUCUCGUUUGGUAAAUCUGUGUUGUGAUGGGCCGGGUCUAGUAGAGCUGUGUUGUGAUUGGCCUGGUCCAGUAGAGCUGUGUUGUGAUUGGCCAGGUCAAGUAGUGCUGUGUUGUGAUUGGCCUGGUCCAGUAGAGCUGUGUUGUGAUUGGCCAGGUCAAGUAGAGCUGUGUUGUGAUGGGCCGGGUCUAGUAGAGCUGUGUUGUGAUGGGCCUGGUCCAGUAGAGCUGUGUUGUGAUUGGCCAGGUCAAGUAGUGCUGUGUUGUGAUGGGCCGGGUCUAGUAGAGCUGUGUUGUGAUUGGCCGGGUCUAGUAGAGCUGUGUUGUGAUGGGCCUGGUCCAGUAGAGCUGUGUUGUGAUUGGCCAGGUCUCGUUUGGUAAAUCUGUGUUGUGAUGGGCCGGGUCUAGUAGAGCUGUGUUGUGAUUGGCCUGGUCCAGUAGAGCUGUGUUGUGAUUGGCCAGGUCAAGUAGUGCUGUGUUGUGAUGGGCCGGGUCUAGUAGAGCUGUGUUGUGAUUGGCCGGGUCUAGUAGAGCUGUGUUGUGAUGGGCCUGGUCUAGUAGAGCUGUGUUGUGAUGGGCCGGGUCUAGUAGAGCUGUGUUGUGAUAGACCAGGACUGGUCUGGUAAAUCUGUGUUGUGAUGGGCCUGGUCAAGUAGUGCUGUGUUGUGAUGGGCCGGGUCUAGUAGAGCUGUGUUGUGAUUGGCCGGGUCUAGUAGAGCUGUGUUGUGAUGGGCCUGGUCUAGUAGAGCUGUGUUGUGAUGGGCCGGGUCUAGUAGAGCUGUGUUGUGAUGGGCCUGGUCUAGUAGAGCUGUGUUGUGAUGGGCCGGGUCUAGUAGAGCUGUGUUGUGAUAGACCAGGACUGGUCUGGUAAAUCUGUGUUGUGAUGGGCCUGGUCUAGUAGAGCUGUGUUGUGAUGGGACGGGUCUGGUCCAGUAGUGCUGUGUUGUGAUGGGCCUGGUCUAGUAGAACUGUGUUGUGAUGGGCCUGGUCUAGUAGAGCUGUGUUGUGAUGGGCCUGGUCUAGUAGAGCUGUGUUGUGAUGGGCCUGGUCCAGUAGAGCUGUGUUGUGAUGGGCCUGUUCUAGUAGAGCUGUGUUGUGAUGGGACUGGUCUAGUAGAGCUGUGUUGUGAUGGGACGGGUUUGGUCUGGUAAAUCUGUGCUGUGUUGGGCCUGGUCUAGUAGAGCUGUGUUGUGAUGGGACGGGUCUGGUCCAGUAGAGCUGUGUUGUGAUGGGUCUGGUCUGGUAAAUCUGUGCUAGGGUUGGGCCUGGUCUAGUAGAGCUGUGUUGUGAUGGGACGGGUCUAGU
rnacentral:lncRNA from 1 species